rnacentral:lncRNA from 1 species
NNNAGGAAGAGAGAGAGAGAAGGAAGCAGGCUCCCUGCUGAGCAGAGAGCCCGAUGCGGGACUCGAUCCCAGGACCCUGAGAUCACGACCCGAGCCGAAGGCAGCGGCUUAACCCACUGAGCCACCCAGGCGCCCUCCCUAGGGCUUUUUAAAGCGCUGCAGGUGCUUCUAGGGUGUAGCAAGAUUGACAACAACUGGUCUAGUGACCACCUGAGGAACAUGUUUGAAAAACUUUCCCUGACAUUUCCUUUCAAGGCAGCUCAUAUGAUCCUUCGUCAGUGGCCCACCAUCUACUGAAGAAUCUGGCUCCACUUGCUGACGAAGGAGGUGAUGUGGAAGAUGUAAGUGGAGGCUGACAUGCAUACCCAGCACAGAAGCAGGAGUGGACCGGGCCAGCUAGGCUGCCUGGAGAAGUCAAGGUCAGUGUUGCCUCAGUCCUAGGGUCAGGAGACUGGUGGUCUCCACAGUUUCAAUGCCAGAUUAGGAUUGCAGGGUGCAGAUCACAGAUUUAUUUACUUUCUUAUUUUUGCAUUUUCAAUUCCUCCUGAAUAUCAAAUGCUGGAAGAUUUCCUCUUUACCAGGUGGUUGGAGCAAAAGUUCGUCUGUGGCCCCUGAAAACACAAACACGAAGAUCGAGCCUUCAAAACUAUUUUUAGCAGAUGGACAAAAGGGACUCUGGAAAAGAUGUGACGGAGGGCUGCUGGGAGGCCGCAGAAGAGGAAGGAAGCGCUGGUGCCAGACGGCCCUCCUUCUCGACCUCACCUUUGUCUUUAUUCAACCCUCCUAUCCCACUCAUGCCUGCUGCUUGCCCUCUCAUCCUCUCCUGGGGAAAGAACAUCGGACCAGGCGGGUUCUGGAGUGUUCCUGCAUUCACACAUACCUGCGGCCUGGUAUGUACAUCUGUCUCAGCAAAGGGCUCCCACCUGACACUGGGGUCCACGGGGUCAGGGGGCUGGGAAGGGUUCUGCCUUGCAGUCAGAGCACUCUUAGGUGAUGAGAACAGCUGUGUCCUCUCUGCCUGCUUUACAAAACCUGAGGCCUCAACGGGAUAUUGAGCUCAGGGAUGAUGGUAAAACAUAGCUCUGUGAUGUUGGUGUAGAGGGAGACACUGCCUGGUCCGGACGCCGGAUCACCUUAGUAAGCCAGUGCUCAAACUCGGAAAGUUGCAGCUGGUAGGUCCUAAGGGCCUCCCUAAGUGUAUGUCUAACCAGAUGGGGACAGCAGGGCCUUGUUCUGGGUUUUUAUAAUCUGCGGUCACCAACAUUUUCAAUUCCUUUGAAUUUCACAGGGUAUCAGAAGACGUGUGGCUGGGGCGCCUGUGUGGCUCAGUGGGUUAAAGCCUCUGCUUUCGGCUCAGGUCAUGAUCCCAGGGUCCUGGGAUCGAGCCCCACAUCAGGCUCUCUGCUCAGCGGGGAGCCUGCUUCCUCCUCUCUCUCUGCCUGCCUCUCUGCCUACUUGUGAUCUCUGUCAAAUAAAUAAAUAAAAUAUUUAAAAAAAAAAAAAAGAAGAUGUG